rnacentral:rRNA from 1 species
AAUGGCCUAACGGCUGAACCAGCAACUUGGGUGAACGAAAAAGCAUUUUAUUUUCCACAUGGAAAAUAAAAUGUAGUUUUUUUGGCUGAGUGCCGGCUGUCGUUAAUAGAAUUUUUAAUUCUAUGUACAGUAAGAGGUUUUGGCCUCUUUUUUGCAAGCUUCGGCUAUUAGCGAUUUAUUCGCAUAAAGUUCUAUAUAGAAUACAGAUAAUGACUAUUUUCUAUAUAAAAGUCUUGACUAAAACACGUGCCAGCAGUCGCGGCAACACGGGACAGACUAGUGUUAUUCAUCUUUAAUAGGUUUAAAGGGUACUUAGACGGCUAAUUUAGCCCCCAUUGAACUGGGAUGGUACAAAUUUGCUAGAGUUUUAUAUGAGAGGGAUUUAGUACUAACAGAGUAGAGAUGAAAUUCUUUGAUACUGUAGGGCACUGAUAACGGCGAAGGCAGACCUUUAUGUAAAAACUGACGUUGAGGGACGAAGGCUUGGGUAACAAACAGGAUUAGGUACCCUAAUAGUCCAGGCAGAAAAUGAUGAGUGCCAUAGAUUAGAAAAUAUUUGAUCUAUAAAUGAAAGUGAAAGCACUCCACCUUAAGAGUAAUGCGGCAACGCAGGAACUGAAAUCAUUAGACCGUUUCUGAUACCAGUAGUGAAGUAUGUUGUUCAAUUCGAUGAUCCACGAAAAAUCUUACCACAAUUUGAAUAUUAUAACAUUAAUAGGAAAAUCUUUUAUGAAAGUGUUAAUAAUACAGGUGUUGCAUGGCUGUCUUCAGUUGAUGUCGUGAGAUGCAGGUUAGCUCCAAUAAAUCAACGUGAACCCUUACUUUAUUUUAGAUGACAAUGUCAUCUACAUAGAGUAGUUCCCCGGCAUAUCGGAUAGAUAACAGGGACUAAGACAAGUCCUCAUGGCCCGGACAUUGUGGGCUAUAGACGUGCCACAUAUACCUUGACAAAGAGAUGCAAAAAUGUGAAUGUUAAGCUAAUCUCUAAAAAUAGGUUAUAGCAA